rnacentral:rRNA from 1 species
GCAAGUCGAGCGCUACCUUCGGGUGGAGCGGCGGACGGGUUAGUAACGCGUGGGAAUAUGCCCAAAGGUAAGGAAUAGCCACUGGAAACGGUGAGUAAUACCUUAUGUGCCCUUCGGGGGAAAGAUUUAUCGCCUUUGGAUUAGCCCGCGUAAGAUUAGAUAGUUGGUGGGGUAAUGGCCUACCAAGUCUACGAUCUUUAGCUGGUUUGAGAGGAUGAUC